GGAGGGUUCAUGGCUCAGUGGCAAAGCAUCUGCUCUGCAUGCAGAUGGUCCCAGGUUUAAUUCCUGGGAGUUUCA
rnacentral:tRNA from 1 species